rnacentral:lncRNA from 1 species
ACAGCAACUUCAUUUUGGAGGCCAUUGUCCCAAGGAGAGGAGGAAAAUCGAUCAAGAGGAAAGAGAGGGAUCAGAGAUGAAUGAAAAUGAAGAGGAGAAGAGGGUUUAGGAGUGUUUCUCAUAGAUUUUGCAGGUUAGAGCUUGAAAUUUGGUGAAAAUUAUGAGGGCAACCCAUGAGAGAGAGAGAUAGCUUAAGAAUUUAGGAUGAUGAUCCAAGGUUUUGUGAGAUUUUGAGGUUGGU